GCCUAUGUUUCAUUUUACUUCAUACACCCUGAUGAGCUCAGCCUCAAACACCACUCUUUCAAGGCUGUAUUUCAAACAUCCUAUUUCCUGGUCACCGCAUCCUUACAUUUCUGCUAAUACCUUAAUACUGUCUCAUAACCACAAUUCUCUGAUCUCAUGAAGACCUCUGACCUCUAAAUGCUAACCCCUGACCUCACCCCUUUCCCAGAAUCUAUGAACCUCUUCCUGCCUUCACUUUCCUUCUUGUCCAUCCAAGAUCCCAUAGCCCAACCUUAUAAUCCAUCCUUUGCAAACACCCCCUUGUGCACUUGGUAAUGCUAAUCUCAGAUCAAUUUACACACCCAUCUUCUCUGCUUGCACGUGGGCUGUGAAUGUUGCAGGAGAGAAGUCACACAACCUGACAAACAGGUUUCACUUAAAGUCCAUGAGCUCAAACCUCAGACUCACCCUCCAAACCCUCUCAUGGCACACAUUCCUGCUCCACAAUUCAGCGAUUUGAUAUGGUCUCCUUGACUGAAACUGUCCUGUCUCUUUCAUCUCCCUCACUCUCAGCUGCUAACCCUGCCUCAUACUUCAUUGAAUGAACAGAAGUUCUCAGGAGAGGCCAGGGUGGGUAUAUGGUGGUCAGCUUUCACCAUGAAGACAAAGACAAGGGGACGGUGGAACAAGAUGGAAGGUGGCUGGAUCCAUGGAUACCUUCAUGAACUAAUGUAUCUAGUGGCCCUGUUUCAACACCUUCUACUGGACUGUUAUAUGAAAGAGGAAUCAACUACCUUAUUCCAGCCAACUUAUGUUAGGGUCCCUUUUGUUACAGCGCCUUAGCCUGAGACUUUACUAAUGCAUAGCCUCAGAUGGAAUGGAAGUGUCCUUUCCUUUUUCCAUCUUCUGUUCUUGUUGACUGAAAUAGAGGUGUGUUAGGAAAUCAUCUGGGGUCAUGCAGACAAGGACAACAUCCUAGGGAUGGCAGGGCAUCAAGCUAUAAGAAGCCUGGAUCCCUGCUGACAUCACAGAGCAGGGCUGCCACAUUAGCCGGGACUAUUACGUGAAAGAGAAAUACCUUCUAUCUCGUUUAAGCCACUGCUAUUUUAUGUGUCUGUUACUUGCAACCAAACAGCCUGACCAAUACAGGGGGCCACUAUCAAAAUUACAGACCUGUCCAUUUUCUCUGCUCUAUCCUGCAUCCUUCUACCGUGGGACCAUCCUCUUACCUGGACUGCUGGGGAGAUACCAUCCUCACAUUACACCUUGGUGAGCUUCUCUGUCUCCUGAAUCACCAACCUCACUUUCCGUUGGACCAUUCCAAGUCCCUUGUUAAUUUCCUCCAUGAUACUUAUUUUGCCUUCUAAUUAUUUUGAUUGUCUGUGUACUAGAAUUCAAAUUAAAAUUCUUCCACCUCUCCUUUCCAUCCUUUUUCUCCAUCCAAUCCUCCUUUCCAAAAAUAGUUUGAUUGGGAAUGAGGAUUUGAGCCAGUAAUUCUCAUUUAUUUGCUCCAACAAAUUCAACCUCUACCUGCUCUGUGUCAGCAGGUUGACUUGUUUGGGCUCCAUCAAUGGGCUGCCCCAUGCUCAGCUUCUGGUUGGGUUAGGAGUCCUGGCAUUUGGUAGCAGGGAGGGGGAAGAAUGAGUAGAGACGGGUUUUCAUCAGGCUCACGCCUGUAAUCCCAGCACUUUGGGAGCCGAGGCAGGCAGAUCACUUGAGGUCAGGAGUUCGAGACUAGCCUGGCCAACAUGAUGAAAACCUGUCUCUAUUAAAAAUAUAAAAAUUAGCCGGGUAUAGUGGCACACACCUGUAAUCCCAGCUACUCAGGAGGCUGAGGCAGGAGAAUCACUUGCACCCAGGAGGUGGAGAUUGGAGUGAGCCAAGAUCAUGCCACUGCACUGCAGCCUGGACGACAGAGCGAGACUCCAUCACAAAUCAAUCAAUCAAUCAAUCAAGUGAACAUGCCUAAAGAAAAGAUUAAAUUACCUUUUUAUUGUCACUGUAGAAAAGAAUCUUAUGAAACUGUUAUGAGAGAAUCUGCAGCCAAAAAUGGAGUAAAACAGGUGUAAUAGAGGUGGGUCAGGCCGGUGAUGAUGAUGGUGAUGAUGGUGAUGAUGGUGAUGAUGAGGAUGAGGAUGAUUUAUCACUUAUUUUGAUUUUCAGGUGCUUGUGGCAUUUGCCACCUUUUUAACAUUUCCAACUUACCAUGAUUCCUUUUAUCACUUUAAAUAAAUAUUCAUGUCCAUACUUAAUU
rnacentral:lncRNA from 10 species